ACGCUGGCGGCGUGCCUAACACAUGCAAGUCGAGCGAGAAUCUACUAAUUGAUCCCUUCGGGGGUGAUUUUUGGUAGAGGAAAGCGGCGGACGGGUGAGUAACGCGUGAGUAACCUGCCCUUCAGAGGGGGACAACAGUUAGAAAUGACUGCUAAUACCGCAUAACAUGUAUUUAUCGCAUGGUAGAUACAUCAAAGAUUUAUCGCUGAGAGAUGGCCUCGCGUCUGAUUAGCUAGUUGGUGAGGUAAACGGGCCCACCAAGGCGACGAUCAGUAGCCGGACUGAGAGGUUGACCGGCCACAUUGGGACUGAGAUACGGCCCAGACUCCUACGGGAGGCAGCAGUGGGGAAUAUUGGGCAAUGGGGGAAACCCUGACCCAGCAACGCCGCGUGAAGGAAGAAGGCCCUCGGGUUGUAAACUUCUUUUAGCAGGGACGAAAAAAUGACGGUACCUGCAGAAAAAGCAACGGCUAACUACGUG
rnacentral:rRNA from 1 species